GAUUAAGUUAUUAAGGGCGCACGGUGGAUGCCUUGGCACUAGAAGCCGAUGAAGGACGUUACUAACGACGAUAUGCUUUGGGGAGCUGUAAGUAAGCUUUGAUCCAGAGAUUUCCGAAUGGGGAAACCCAGCAUGAGUUAUGUCAUGUUAUCGAUAUGUGAAUACAUAGCAUAUCAGAAGGCACACCCGGAGAACUGAAACAUCUUAGUACCCGGAGGAAGAGAAAGAAAAUUCGAUUCCCUUAGUAGCGGCGAGCGAAACGGGAAGAGCCCAAACCAACAAGCUUGCUUGUUGGGGUUGUAGGACACUCUAUACGGAGUUACAAAGGACGACAUUAGACGAAUCAUCUGGAAAGAUGAAUCAAAGAAGGUAAUAAUCCUGUAGUCGAAAAUGUUGUCUCUCUUGAGUGGAUCCUGAGUACGACGGAGCACGUGAAAUUCCGUCGGAAUCUGGGAGGACCAUCUCCUAAGGCUAAAUACUCUCUAGUGACCGAUAGUGAACCAGUACCGUGAGGGAAAGGUGAAAAGUACCCCGGAAGGGGAGUGAAAGAGAACUUGAAACCGUGUGCUUACAAGUAGUCAGAGCCCGUUAAUGGGUGAUGGCGUGCCUUUUGUAGAAUGAACCGGCGAGUUACGAUCUGAUGCAAGGUUAAGCAGCAAAUGUGGAGCCGCAGCGAAAGCGAGUCUGAAUAGGGCGUUGAGUAUUUGGUCGUAGACCCGAAACCAGGUGAUCUACCCUUGGUCAGGUUGAAGUUCAGGUAACACUGAAUGGAGGACCGAACCGACUUACGUUGAAAAGUGAGCGGAUGAACUGAGGGUAGCGGAGAAAUUCCAAUCGAACUUGGAGAUAGCUGGUUCUCUCCGAAAUAGCUUUAGGGCUAGCCUCAAGUGAUGAUUAUUGGAGGUAGAGCACUGUUUGGACGAGGGGCCCCUCUCGGGUUACCGAAUUCAGACAAACUCCGAAUGCCAAUUAAUUUAACUUGGGAGUCAGAACAUGGGUGAUAAGGUCCGUGUUCGAAAGGGAAACAGCCCAGACCACCAGCUAAGGUCCCAAAAUAUAUGUUAAGUGGAAAAGGAUGUGGCGUUGCCCAGACAACUAGGAUGUUGGCUUAGAAGCAGCCAUCAUUUAAAGAGUGCGUAAUAGCUCACUAGUCGAGUGACACUGCGCCGAAAAUGUACCGGGGCUAAACAUAUUACCGAAGCUGUGGAUUGUCCUUUGGACAAUGGUAGGAGAGCGUUCUAAGGGCGUUGAAGCAUGAUCGUAAGGACAUGUGGAGCGCUUAGAAGUGAGAAUGCCGGUGUGAGUAGCGAAAGACGGGUGAGAAUCCCGUCCACCGAUUGACUAAGGUUUCCAGAGGAAGGCUCGUCCGCUCUGGGUUAGUCGGGUCCUAAGCUGAGGCCGACAGGCGUAGGCGAUGGAUAACAGGUUGAUAUUCCUGUACCACCUAUAAUCGUUUUAAUCGAUGGGGGGACGCAGUAGGAUAGGCGAAGCGUGCGAUUGGAUUGCACGUCUAAGCAGUAAGGCUGAGUAUUAGGCAAAUCCGGUACUCGUUAAGGCUGAGCUGUGAUGGGGAGAAGACAUUGUGUCUUCGAGUCGUUGAUUUCACACUGCCGAGAAAAGCCUCUAGAUAGAAAAUAGGUGCCCGUACCGCAAACCGACACAGGUAGUCAAGAUGAGAAUUCUAAGGUGAGCGAGCGAACUCUCGUUAAGGAACUCGGCAAAAUGACCCCGUAACUUCGGGAGAAGGGGUGCUCUUUAGGGUUAACGCCCAGAAGAGCCGCAGUGAAUAGGCCCAAGCGACUGUUUAUCAAAAACACAGGUCUCUGCUAAACCGUAAGGUGAUGUAUAGGGGCUGACGCCUGCCCGGUGCUGGAAGGUUAAGAGGAGUGGUUAGCUUCUGCGAAGCUACGAAUCGAAGCCCCAGUAAACGGCGGCCGUAACUAUAACGGUCCUAAGGUAGCGAAAUUCCUUGUCGGGUAAGUUCCGACCCGCACGAAAGGCGUAACGAUUUGGGCCGUGGAGCUUUACUGUAGCCUGAUAUUGAAAUUCGGCACAGCUUGUACAGGAUAGGUAGGAGCCUUUGAAACGUGAGCGCUAGCUUACGUGGAGGCGCUGGUGGGAUACUACCCUAGCUGUGUUGGCUUUCUAACCCGCACCACUUAUCGUGGUGGGAGACAGUGUCAGGCGGGCAGUUUGACUGGGGCGGUCGCCUCCUAAAAGGUAACGGAGGCGCUCAAAGGUUCCCUCAGAAUGGUUGGAAAUCAUUCAUAGAGUGUAAAGGCAUAAGGGAGCUUGACUGCGAGACCUACAAGUCGAGCAGGGUCGAAAGACGGACUUAGUGAUCCGGUGGUUCCGCAUGGAAGGGCCAUCGCUCAACGGAUAAAAGCUACCCCGGGGAUAACAGGCUUAUCUCCCCCAAGAGUUCACAUCGACGGGGAGGUUUGGCACCUCGAUGUCGGCUCAUCGCAUCCUGGGGCUGUAGUCGGUCCCAAGGGUUGGGCUGUUCGCCCAUUAAAGCGGUACGCGAGCUGGGUUCAGAACGUCGUGAGACAGUUCGGUCCCUAUCCGUCGUGGGCGUAGGAAAUUUGAGAGGAGCUGUCCUUAGUACGAGAGGACCGGGAUGGACAUACCUCUGGUGUACCAGUUGUCGUGCCAACGGCAUAGCUGGGUAGCUAUGU
rnacentral:rRNA from 1 species